rnacentral:rRNA from 1 species
CCUACGGGAGGCAGCAGUGGGGAAUAUUGGGCAAUGGGCGCAAGCCUGACCCAGCAACGCCGCGUGAAGGAAGAAGGUUCUCGGGUUGUAAACUCCUUUUGUCAGGGACGAAGCAAGUGACGCUACCUGACGAAUAAGCCACGGCUAACUACGUGCCAGCAGCCGCUGUAAUACGUAGGGGGCAAGCGGUAUGCGGAUUUACUGGGUGUAAAGGGUGUGUAGGCGGGGAAGCAAGUCAGAUGGGAAAACCCCGGGCUCAACCUGUGGCCUGCAUUUGAAACUGUUUUUCUGGAGUGCUGGAGAGGCAAGCGGAAUGCCGGGUGUAGCGGUGAAAUGCGUAGAUAUCGGGAGGAACACCAGUGGCGAAGGCGGAUUGCUGGACAGUAACUGACGCUGAGGCGCGAAAGCGUGGGGAGCGAACAGGAUUAGAUACCCGUGUAGUC